rnacentral:siRNA from 1 species
CAUUCGAGUUCGGGUAGAACCCA